rnacentral:rRNA from 1 species
UACGUAGGGGGCAAGCGUUGUCCGGAUUUAUUGGGCGUAAAGAGCGUGUAGGCGGCCAAACAGGUCCACUGUGAAAACUCGAGGCUCAACCUCGAGAGGUCGGUGGAAACCGUCUGGCUAGAGUCCGGAAGAGGAGAGUGGAAUUCCCGGUGUAGCGGUGAAAUGCGCAGAUAUCGGGAAGAACACCCGUGGCGAAGGCGGCUCUCUGGGGACGGUACUGACGCAUGAGACG